rnacentral:rRNA from 1 species
CCUACGGGGUGCAGCAGUGGGGAAUAUUGGACAAUGGGCGAAAGCCUGAUCCAGCCAUGCCGCGUGUGUGAAGAAGGCCUUCGGGUUGUAAAGCACUUUCAGUGGGGAAGAAAGCCUUGGGGCUAAUACCCUCGAGGAAGGACAUCACCCACAGAAGAAGCACCGGCUAACUCCGUGCCAGCAGCCGCGGUAAUACGGAGGGUGCGAGCGUUAAUCGGAAUUACUGGGCGUAAAGCGCGCGUAGGCGGUCUGAUAAGCCGGUUGUGAAAGCCCUGGGCUCAACCUGGGAACGGCAUCCGGAACUGUCAGGCUAGAGUGCAGGAGAGGAAGGUAGAAUUCCCGGUGUAGCGGUGAAAUGCGUAGAGAUCGGGAGGAAUACCAGUGGCGAAGGCGGCCUUCUGGACUGACACUGACGCUGAGGUGCGAAAGCGUGGGUAGCAAACAGGAUUAGAUACCCCAGUAGUC